AUGAACGCUAGCUACAGGCUUAACACAUGCAAGUCGAGGGGCAGCAUUUUAGUUUGCUUGCAAACUGAAGAUGGCGACCGGCGCACGGGUGAGUAACACGUAUCCAACCUGCCGAUAACUCCGGAAUAGCCUUUCGAAAGAGAGAUUAAUACCGGAUAGCAUACGAAUAUCGCAUGAUAUUUUUAUUAAAGAAUUUCGGUUAUCGAUGGGGAUGCGUUCCAUUAGUUUGUUGGCGGGGUAACGGCCCACCAAGACUACGAUGGAUAGGGGUUCUGAGAGGAAGGUCCCCCACAUUGGAACUGAGACACGGUCCAAACUCCUACGGGAGGCAGCAGUGAGGAAUAUUGGUCAAUGGGCGAGAGCCUGAACCAGCCAAGUAGCGUGAAGGAUGAAGGCUCUAUGGGUCGUAAACUUCUUUUAUAUGGGAAUAAAGUUUUCCACGUGUGGAAUUUUGUAUGUACCAUAUGAAUAAGGAUCGGCUAACUCCGUGCCAGCAGCCGCGGUAAUACGGAGGAUCCGAGCGUUAUCCGGAUUUAUUGGGUUUAAAGGGAGCGUAGGUGGAUUGUUAAGUCAGUUGUGAAAGUUUGCGGCUCAACCGUAAAAUUGCAGUUGAAACUGGCAGUCUUGAGUACAGUAGAGGUGGGCGGAAUUCGUGGUGUAGCGGUGAAAUGCUUAGAUAUCACGAAGAACUCCGAUUGCGAAGGCAGCUCACUAGACUGUCACUGACACUGAUGCUCGAAAGUGUGGGUAUCAAACAGGAUUAGAUACCCUGGUAGUCCACACAGUAAACGAUGAAUACUCGCUGUUUGCGAUAUACAGUAAGCGGCCAAGCGAAAGCAUUAAGUAUUCCACCUGGGGAGUACGCCGGCAACGGUGAAACUCAAAGGAAUUGACGGGGGCCCGCACAAGCGGAGGAACAUGUGGUUUAAUUCGAUGAUACGCGAGGAACCUUACCCGGGCUUAAAUUGCAACAGAAUAUAUUGGAAACAGUAUAGCCGUAAGGCUGUUGUGAAGGUGCUGCAUGGUUGUCGUCAGCUCGUGCCGUGAGGUGUCGGCUUAAGUGCCAUAACGAGCGCAACCCUUAUCUUUAGUUACUAACAGGUCAUGCUGAGGACUCUAGAGAGACUGCCGUCGUAAGAUGUGAGGAAGGUGGGGAUGACGUCAAAUCAGCACGGCCCUUACGUCCGGGGCUACACACGUGUUACAAUGGGGGGUACAGAAGGCGGCUACCUGGUGACAGGAUGCUAAUCCCAAAAACCUCUCUCAGUUCGGAUCGAAGUCUGCAACCCGACUUCGUGAAGCUGGAUUCGCUAGUAAUCGCGCAUCAGCCAUGGCGCGGUGAAUACGUUCCCGGGCCUUGUACACACCGCCCGUCAAGCCAUGAAAGCCGGGGGUACCUGAAGUACGUAACCGCAAGGAGCGUCCUAGGGUAAAACUGGUAAUUGGGGCU
rnacentral:rRNA from 1 species